UAUGCAGGAUAAUGUCUACCAGGAUAUUCUUGAGGGGAGACUCUCCACUUAGAUCGCCAAGAUCUCUUCACGGUACCUGUGGGGUGGAGAUCGCAAAGGAUCAAUCGCCUGGCUCCCCAUGGUGAUAGAUCACGCGUCAAGAAAUCCAACAUGGCAGAUGAGCCAACGAAGAAGAGGAGCGCCACAUUUGACGAUUGCUGGCCCCAGGUUUCCCUGACUACAUUUCUCUUCACGAAAUUCUCUGGAGCCGAGUGAACCAACAUCAACAACAAUAGAUGUGUCCCAUUACAUGGAUCAUUGUUGAUUGUGAACCGAAAGUCUUUUAUAUCAAUAAGAGUUGAUUUGUCACCGAACGGAAGUUCGUGUAAUAAGUAUGGCUGCGGAGAGGGUGUCACGUUUCCGGGUAAGAUUAAUAGAUAUCCCGGUGCCGAUACGCCACUGCUGUAUGGCGUCGGUGAACCGGAAUUGUCGAUGUGAAGCCAGAAGGAGAAGCAUCCAGUCAGUGCCAAAGCGACCACAAAAAUCAGAGUGCAAGGCGACGUACCGGAGGCAUGGAGUCGCCGCUUAUCCAGCAUACUAAAAAGUCCCUUACAUCAUACAAGUCUGAGUCCGGCUAAAAAAAAACAAUAGUAAAAAAAUCUGCUGUCAGUAUUAAACUGGUUUAACUUGCCUGUGAGAACAACAGUCAUUUCAUGUCAUUAGAAAACAUGUGUGACGCAUCUGCUACUAUAAAUACUAUCUUUUAUUUUGCUUAUAUAUAUAUUUUUAAUAGAUAAUAAUUUGUGAAAUAUUAAUGUAUGGAUAGUGAUAAUAUGAA